rnacentral:rRNA from 1 species
GAUGAACGCUAGCGAUAGGCUUAACACAUGCAAGUCGAGGGGCAGCACAAGGUAGCUUGCUAUCUGGGUGGCGACCGGCGCACGGGUGCGUAACGCGUAUGCAACUUGCCCUAUACAGGAGGAUAACCCGUCGAAAGACGGACUAAUACUGCGUAUGCUCACAACUUGGCAUCAAGUGGUGAGGAAAGAAAUUCGGUAUAGGAUAGGCAUGCGUCCCAUUAGCUUGUUGGUGAGGUAACGGCUCACCAAGGCAACGAUGGGUAGGGGAACUGAGAGGUUUAUCCCCCACACUGGUACUGAGACACGGACCAGACUCCUACGGGAGGCAGCAGUGAGGAAUAUUGGUCAAUGGGCGCGAGCCUGAACCAGCCAAGUCGCGUGAAGGAUGACUGUCUUACGGAUUGUAAACUUCUUUUAUACGGGAAUAACAAGAGUCACGUGUGACUCCCUGCAUGUACCGUAUGAAUAAGCAUCGGCUAACUCCGUG